GGGUUCGUGGUCUAGAUCGGUUACGACACCUCCUUGACAUGGAGGAGGCCGACGGUUCAAAUCCGUCCGAACCCA
rfam:Halorientalis sp. IM1011, complete genome.